rnacentral:misc_RNA from 1 species
UGGCUCUCGCAUCGAUGACGAACGCAGCGAAAUGCGAUAAGUAAUGUGAAUUGCAGAAUUCAGUGAAUCAUCGAAUCUUUGAACGCAUCUUGCGCUCCUUGGUAUUCCGAGGAGCAUGCCUGUUUGAGUGUCAUUAAAUUCUCAACCUUUACCAGCUUUGCUGCUUGGUUAUAGGCUUGGAUGUGGAGGUUUUUGCAGGCCUUUUCAAAGGUCAGCUCCUCUGAAAUACAUUAGCGGUGUCUCCUUCAUGGUUAAACGACUAUUGGUGUGAUAAACUAUCUACGCUUAUGGGCAACCAUGUUCACUUGAAUGUGAAGAGGGAUUUGGCUGCUUCUAACCGUCUGAAAGGACAAACAAUGACUAUUUGACCUCAAAUCAGGUAGGACUACCCGCUGA